GUGCCAUGGUGAUGAAUGAGUCCCAUAUUAAACCUUUAUCCAUUCAUUUCACUUUGUCAGCAAUCUUCUUGUUUACUUGUUGAUCAUUACAGAAUGGAAGUUUU